UACAGAGGGGGCAAGCGUUGUUCGGAAUUACUGGGCGUAAAGGGCGCGUAGGCGGCCUGCUAAGUCGAACGUGAAAUCCCCGGGCUCAACCCGGGAACUGCGUCCGAUACUGGCAGGCUUGAAUCCGGGAGAGGGAUGCGGAAUUCCAGGUGUAGCGGUGAAAUGCGUAGAUAUCUGGAGGAACACCGGUGGCGAAGGCGGCAUCCUGGACCGGCAUUGACGCUGAGGCGCGAAAGCCAGGGGAGCAAACAGG
rnacentral:rRNA from 1 species